GCCUUUGUGGUGUAGUGGUUAGCACGCUCGAAACGUAUUCGAGAGUUCCGUGGUUCGAGUCCCGGCGAGGACA
rnacentral:tRNA from 1 species